UACGUAGGGGCUAGCGUUGUCCGGAAUUAUUGGGCGUAAAGAGCUUGUAGGCGGUCUGUCGCGUCUGCUGUGAAAAUCCGGGGCUCAACCCCGGACUUGCAGUGGGUACGGGCAGACUAGAGUGUGGUAGGGGAGACUGGAAUUCCUGGUGUAGCGGUGAAAUGCGUAGAUAUCGAGAAGAACGCUCGUGGCGAAAGCGAAACCCUGGACAGUUUCUGACGCUGAUGCGCGAAAGCGUGGGAGCAAACAGG
rnacentral:rRNA from 1 species